UGUAAGCACAUCGGGUUCAGCUCUGUUCCCUCAAGCAGAGGAGCAGAGAAAGAAAGCAGUUGGGGCCAAAGGACCGUUCUGACGCUUUCUCCUACUGUCUUGCCACAGUCUGAAUUUCUGCUUUUAUACAGUUCUGUGGAUUGCAUGACUGAAGUUCUUCCUUUAUUCAGAACGCAUUUGUCGGAUGGGAAUGUUCAUAGCAGCACGAUUCUAACAGCCAAGAGGCAGAACCAAGCCGAGGGCUAUCUCCGGAGAAGGGGACAGCACACGUGGUCUGGACAGCGGCACGACUCAGGCCCACGGGGGGACGGACGCACUGGACGGCGUGGGCGCUCAGGGAGGCCAGCGGGAAGCGCCAUGCUGUCGGCAUCCACUGACGGGACGCUGUCACCGUAGGGGAGGAAGACUGAAUCCUGGAACCAGUGCAGCCACCAUUCUUUCAGGACUGGUUCUGCCUCAGGGCAUGGGCCUCACCCACAGAAAGAAGCCAAGAACACAGAGAAAGUCGGAACCUGGAUGUUGUGAGCCCCUGGAGCAAACCAUUCUUGAGGCUGGAUCUGCCUCUGAAUUUUACAGUUAUGGGAGUCAAUAAAACCUUUUCAAAUGCACAUAUUUUUUGGGGGGUAAGUGUAGCACCCAUGAUUGUGGACAGGUGGGCCCGGAGAGUGCGGCGUGUGCGUGUGUAAGUGCUCACACCUGGGCAAGAGGUGUGGGCUGAAAGGGAGGCGUCUCUCUGAGGCGAGAUGAUGAGAGGACGCGAGACUGAGGGCGAGAACGCCAGAGAGAAAGCAGGUCUGUCCCGAUGCAGCACUAGAGGCCUGCAAAAUCCACCGACAGCGCCGAAAUUCUCUUUUCAUCCGUGAGAACGAACGAGGAUGGCGGCACGUCAGUAAGUUUCCCGUCUCUUGCAACCAAAAACUUCCCGACUCCUGCAGUCAGUCGCCUGUCGUCUUGCUGAGCUCCUCCAACUGGCUGGCUGUUUUUCUUGCUGAUCCGUAGACGCACUAGUGACACUUAGAAGUGCCUUCAGGGGUAAAGAGAUGCUUUUGCACCACCAGCUAUUAUUAAAUCCACCUCCUGGGGUUACACUGGUGCCAGGCCCAGGGUCCCUGCAAACUUCACCAACAGGGGGUGCCGUCACGCCAUGUACCCACCCGCUCAGGACAGCCAGCCCGAGUAGCUUGGACUCGCAUUUUGCUUUCCCUGAGCGAGGCCAGGCAUCCUUUCAUUUGCUUCAAGGCGGUUGGUGUUGUUCUCCUGCGGGCCAACCACCUGUUGCACAUUCACCUUCCCACCUCCUCCCGGCAUCUCUCCUGCUGUAAUAUCCCCUUAUCCCACCGUCGUCCUUCUGACAUCUCACCCUCCUCAGGCUCUAGUCCCGGCUCUCACCCGACUCCUCUCCCGCAGCUCUUUGCCUCCCCCGCCCCUUUCUUUCCUGCUUUCUCACUCUCGUGCCAUCUUUUCUCCUCUGCAGCUGCUGCUCCCGUGCCUGCUGCCUGUCUCCAGCACCGUCCUCUCACCUCUGUUCUCUCCCUCCUGUUCCCUCUGUCACAAAAGGUGAGCCUCCCCCUUGUGGGUCUGCCCAGUGUGGACGCUGUCCUCUCGCUUCUCCACCCCCUUAAUCCUUUUCCUCCUCCGUCUCGCUGCUGCUGCUCAGAACUGCCGCUCUUGGGCUGUUUUCUCUCUCUCCUUCCCCGCCCCCUUCUCUCUCCCGCGUCCUCUGUUAUCUUCUCUUUUCCAAGACUCUUCCUCUCUGACUGCUUCUGGGUGUGGGGACUGGUCAUCUGAGCUUAUGAGGGGCCCUUCCCGCAGCUCCCAAGGAG